UACGUAGGGGGCGAGCGUUGUCCGGAUUCAUUGGGCGUAAAGAGCUCGUAGGCGGUUUGAUAAGUCGGGGGUGAAAUCUCCAGGCUCAACCUGGAGAGGUCACUCGAGACUGUUAUGACUAGAGUCCGGUAGGGGACCACGGAAUUCCUGGUGUAGCGGUGAAAUGCGCAGAUAUCAGGAAGAACACCCGUGGCGAAGGCGGUUCUCUGGGACGGUACUGACGCUGAGACGCGAAAGCGUGGGGAGCGAACAGG
rnacentral:rRNA from 1 species